GCACAAGUGGGVYGAAAAGCCUUGACGGCRKGCGACCGCCCGCGUGGGGGGAUGGAAGGUUCUUBCGGAUGCCGCGUGGGGGAUGAAGGUCUUCGGAUUGUMAACCCCUUUCGGGAGGGAAGAUGGAAUGGGGUAACCCAUUGCGGACGSUMCCUCCAAGAAGCAGCCACGGCUAAYUUCGUGCCAGCAGCCMCGGUAAUACGAAGGUUGGCAAGCGUUAUKCGGAUUUASUGGGCGUACRGGSAGCGUAGGCGGUUCGGUAAGCCCUUURUGAAAUCUSCAGGCUUAACCUGGAACAGUCGGAGNGGACUGCCGGGCUAGAGGACGGGAGAGGAGCGCGGAAUUCCCGGUGUNGCGGUGAAAUGCGUAGAGAUCGGGAGGAAGGCCGGUGGCGAAGGCGGCGCUSUGGAACGUUUCUGACGCUGAGGCUCGAAAGCGUGGGGAGCAAACAGGAUUAGAUACCCUGGUAGUCCACGCCUUAAACUAUGAAUACUAAGUGKCGGCGGGUUACCGCCGGUGCCGCA
rnacentral:rRNA from 1 species